rnacentral:rRNA from 1 species
AAGUAUAAGCAAUUAUACCGUGAAACUGCGAAUGGCUCAUUAAAUCAGUUAUCGUUUAUUUGAUAGUACCUUACUACUUGGAUAACCGUGGUAAUUCUAGAGCUAAUACAUGCUAAAAACCCCGACUUCGGGAGGGGUGUAUUUAUUAGAUAAAAAACCAAUGCCCUUCGGGGCUCCUUGGUGAUUCAUAAUAACUUAACGAAUCGCAUGGCCUUGCGCCGGCGAUGGUUCAUUCAAAUUUCUGCCCUAUCAACUUUCGAUGGUAGGAUAGUGGCCUACCAUGGUUUCAACGGGUAACGGGGAAUUA